rnacentral:rRNA from 1 species
GACGAACGCUGGCGGCGUGCCUAAUACAUGCAAGUAGGACGCAGUUGCGAACGGGUGAGUAACGCGUAGGUAACUACCUAUUAGAGGGGGAUAACUAUUGGAAACGAUAGCUAAUACCGCAUACUAGUAGAUGGACCUGCGUUGUAUUAGCUAGUAGGUAGGGUAAUGGCCUACCUAGGCAACGAUACAUAGCCGAACUGAGAGGGUGAGCGGGCACACUGGGACUGAGACACGGCUCAGACUCCCUCGGGAGGCAGCCGUAGGGAAUCUGCGGCAAGGGGGGGAACCCUGACCGAGCAACGCCGAGGUAGUGAAGAAGGUUUUCGGAUCUUAAAGCUCUGUUGUUAAGGAAGCGGUACUUAACCAGAAAGGGACGGCUAACUACGUGCCAGCAGCCGCGGUAAUUC